rnacentral:misc_RNA from 1 species
AACUUUUGACAAUGGAUCACUUGGCUCUCGCAUCGAUGAAGAACGCAGCGAAAUGCGAUAAGUAAUGCGAAUUGCAGAAUCCGUGAGUCAUCGAAUCUUUGAACGCACAUUGCGCCCUUUGGUAUUCCGAAGGGCAUGCCUGUUCGAGCGUCAUUAUCACCCCUCAAGCUCCGGCUUGGUGUUGGGCUUCGAGAUAGCUAUAUCACGGGCCUCAAAGAUAGUGACGGCGUCCCAGAUGGAUCCGGUACGAGGAGCUUUUAACCAAGCAUGUACGCGGAGUGAAUCUGCGGGCGGCGGUCUUUAACCACUACUCUUCGGAGUUCUUUCUAAGUGUUGACCUCGGAUCAGGUAGGGAUACCCGCUGAACUUAAGCAUAUCAAUAAGCGGAGGCU